AUGGGCAUCGAGGCCGUCGCUGCCAAGUUGCGCCGCCGAGAAGCCGCGAGCUCCGUCCCCGCCGGCGAGCGACUGCGGUGUACGCCCGUCGGCAACGCCACCGACAACGUCCGCCAGCUCUUCUCUUCGCCCUUCAACAUCCAGGUCGCCAACUCCCUCAACCCCUCAGCACUCCGCAGCGAUGUCUUCCUCUCCCCUCUCGCCGGCAAGGAGCCGAUGACUGCAAUGAAGGCUGCCAAUAAAGAGCUGAAAGGGAUGAUGAAGGCUGCGAGGAUUGAAGAUAUGGAUUUGCAUCUGAAUCCAUGCCAACUUUUCAAAUCUGCAGAGCAUGCAGGACGAGAUGGUGGAUCUUAUGGAUACGAUAUGGACUUUGAAUCGAAUUCGGUUCCAUCGUACCUCCAACUAGACAAGGAGACAGAUAUUGAUUCCGAGCCUAACUUUCCUGUUGCACCAAGUGGUCAUGCCCCGGCAAACCGGCAGCAGGAAAAUUGA
rnacentral:rRNA from 1 species